GGAGCUGUAGUGUAGGCUGGUCCAGCAUCCAAGGCUUUCGACCUUGGGACGAGGGUUCAAAUCCCUCCAGCUCUGCCA
rnacentral:tRNA from 1 species